UAUCUACCCUUUGGCCUGGAAUAACACGAGGAAACUUGUGCUAAUACCAGAUAAGUCUUUACGGAGAAAGCUUUAUGCACCAUUGGAUGAGCCUGCACUUGAUUAGUUUGUUGGUGGGGUAAUGGCCUACCAAGGCUGUGAUCAAUAGCUGAUUUGAGAGGAUGAUCAGCCACAUUGGGACUGAGACACGGCCCAAACUCCUACGGGAGGCAGCAGUGGGGAAUCUUGCACAAUGGAGGAAACUCUGAUGCAGCGAUGCCGCGUGAGUGAAGAAGGCCCUUGGGUUGUAAAGCUCUUUCGUCGGGGAAGAAAAUGACUGUACCCGAAUAAGAAGGUCCGGCUAACUUCGUGCCAGCAGCCGCGGUAAUACGAAGGGACCUAGCGU
rnacentral:rRNA from 1 species